AGUUCUGGAAGUGAGGCACUGGGUGGAGGAGACGGCCAAACUGGAGAGAUGCGGCACCGGCAGCUCCGACUCCGCCGGUGGCGACGGCGGAAGGAGGCCCGGAGGUUGGGCUUGUGGCUGCAGACGGAAGAAGAGGAAAAGAGAAAUCCAGAUGGAUUUGGGAAUUUUUAUUUCAUUUCUCUGAUUUCAUAUGUGUCAAUUUGUAAUUAGUUCAAAAUAAAUAAGCGCGUGUCAUGUCAGCCAUUAAUGUGGCGCUCCUGAACCCCCGAAUAUUUUCUCAUGUCUGUGGCACAAGGAGAAAUAAAGAAAAGAGUAGGCAGGGGAUUACAAAGUUAUAAAACUAUGGGAUGUUUGUUAUCUUGUUUGGAUCCAAUCACCUCCCAGAGAGUCUUGUUGUGUAUUGUAGGUUAAGGAUUUGAGGUAGCGUAGUGUGAUAGACUGGUGUAGGACGCUUGUCUCCCAAAAGGGAUAAAUUUUCUUGAAUUUGAGUUGUCUCUUGAUUAUAGCUUCAUGGAGAGGCUCGAAAUGACAAGAUAUUUAUUCCGUCCGGAAGGGGAGUCUACUAUAAUCCCAAAGAUAAUUGUUUGGAUAAAGCAUCGAUUCAUAUCAAGAGCCCACACCAGAUGUACUGGAUGUGCCUUGUUCAUUGUUAAUUGAGAUGCAGUCGAGGUCGCUCCCAUUGGUCGUUCCUGUGCAUUUAGUUUCGCUGCGAUUCAAAAUUUUGCGGUUCGGGUGCAGAUCGUUCCAUUGUCUGGGAACUCAUGUUUGAUGUUUGGUCUUGGCAUAGAGUUAGAGGGGAUAACACAAUGACUAGGAAUAUUCAGACUGAGUUUCAUGGGAAGAUCUGUUCUGCCGCACUUCCAAAGAAGUUGGUUGUGCAGCCUUUAUUUCAAGCUGCUAUCUUUUGGUUGUUUUUAGCCUUUGAGUUCCGUAAUGGCCGGUGAAGUCUCAGUGACCCUUCCUAACGACAACGGCAAUGGGACUCCAUCUGAUCCCUUAAGGACUUACCAACUUGUUGUUGCUGCAACUUGAGUGUAUAGGCAAGGAUGGAACACUUCCCUGGAGGCUGCCUUCUCAUCUCAAAUAUUUUAAGAGCAUUACUCUCUCAACAGUUAAUCCUGGGAAAAAGAAUGCAGUCAUAAUGGGUAGAAAAACAUGGGAAAGUAUUCCUGCUGAGCUUAGGCCACUUCCUGGCUGACUCAAUGUUGUUCUCACUCAUUCUGAGAGUUUUGAUAUUGCGACUGCAGCAAAUGUCCUUGGGGAGCGACUAACAAGCUGUAGGUUUAAGUUGAGCUAUCGAAGAGAGAAUGGGCCUUCAUUUUUGUUCUUUUUCUUGUUAGUGAUAGAUUGCUUUUACUGGCGAGUGUUUUAGCGAUUGGUCUCUGCAAUUUCAGGCAAAAAUGAGAUGAAAAAAGAACAUAUUUUAUAUGUUCAUGCUACUUAAAUUUUUGUUGAUGUCGGCUUAGUUGGGUCAUUUUGGAUUAGAUUGGUGAGCAGAAAUGGACCAAGGGAAACCAGAAGGAGAAGGUGAACAACAUGGUGCUGUUUGACCAGGCAACUUAGGACAAGCUUCUGUCCAAGGCACCCAAGUAUAAGCUCAUCACCCCGUCCAUCCUCUCUGAUCAUUUAAGGAGUAAUGGAUCACUUGCUUGGAAGGCAAUAAGAGAACUCACGGCUAGAGGUUUGGAUCAGGAUGGUCUCUGCUCAUACCAGCUAGCAGAUCUACACCAGGGGCGACAAAUACAUGUAUGUCUUAGGCCCCUUGUACUUUCAGCUAUACAGUAAUGGUUGUUUUAUAUCCUGCGUUGGUAAAGUACUGUGGUUUUUUUUUUAAUCUCUGGGAUAGUAUGAAAAAUAUAUGUUUGUUUCAUAUCUUGCAUUUGUGAAUAUUCCGGAUGUAAAACUGAUGGACAAGAAAAAAAAAGAUCAAUUUUUUUUGUUUGAUGUGUGCA